rnacentral:lncRNA from 1 species
UUCCUUGGGCCGAUUCACCUCAUGGUGGGUGGGCACUCUGGCUACAACCAUCAAGUGACCAGACCAGAAGCAGAGAGGGCUGGGCUGGGGCUAAACUCAAGUUACAGUCCUUUACUCAGGAACUACUUCCAGAGAGCAUAACUCUGGGGGGCCGGAGGAUCUCCCCUAACCCACACAUCUAAGGGUUUCCAUGAUUUCCUCAUAGCAUCACCCUGCACAAUACCUCUUCAGUCACAAUGCAGCACACAAUUAAACGGCAUUGAUGCCACACAGCAGCAAUACGUGCCACUUAAAACAAGCCACUCUGAGCAAAUGACUACUUUGAAUGCAGCGGACAGAAGAGUAUUCCUGAGCACCCCAUUCACCCAGAAGCAGCAGGCCAAACAUGCCCUGCAGACCAGCCAUGCCCUGAGCAGACCUUGCCCUCCUCGGCAGUCUGCACGGCCUUGGCUGCUCCUGCUGCAGCCAUCAUACCUGCUCUGACAGCUGGCUCCCUCUCCAUGAGUUCUGCAUUCACAGAUUCAGCCAAGCAUGGUGUGAAAGGCAUAGCUAUCUGUGCUGCAAACACACAGGUUUUUGCCACCCUGGGAAGUCAUGUGUGUGUGGUUUGAUACUUGUGUGCACAUGUGUGGAUGCAUAAGGGUGGAGGCCAGGGGUAGAUGUGAGGUGCCUCCCUCCAUGAUUCCCACCUUACUUUCUGAGACAAGGUGUCUCAGGGAAUCUGGAGCUCGUCUGUUUGCGAAGUUUGGCUGGCCACUGAGCUUCAGGACCCUUCCUGUCCUACCCGUGUGGUUCCACACCAGCACUGUGCCGCAGACUUGUGCCUGGCCCUGACAUUGGUGCCGCAAUCUGAACUCAGACUCUCAUGCUUUCACGUCAGGUACCAUACCAACCCAACCGCCUUCCUAAACCAUGUCAUUGUGUCUCACACCUGCAUGAUUCACAUUCACACCAUGUGAGGUGUUCUAAGCUGCCCAGAACUGGCUUGCAGGGCUCAGGACAGGAAAAGCUUGGGUGCAGCCUCCAGUUUUAUCCCCCCAGGUCUCACAACUAACUCCUUGUAAAAAGAGGGACAACUGUCCUCUCACAUCUGUCCCUUGCUUGGGAUCUUCUCAGAGUGCUUGGUGUAGCCAUGGUCCUGUGCAUCUGUACUUGGGGAGUUCAGAAGCACCCAAGUCCUAGAUUCCUCUUCAUCUGCAUCCCUGUUUUCAUUUGCCCCUUGGUU